rnacentral:lncRNA from 1 species
AUGUGCUACUCGGUCCCCAUUUGUCAUUUGUUCAAACGACAUUUAUUCAAAUCUGCAAAUGACACGUUUGGAGAACAGCCCUGCUGUGCCUCUCCGCCCCCCUCCCGUGGCCGCCUCCACGGCAGGGUCGGCCCCUCCGCACAGGGGCUCCGCACGCAGCCGGGCCGGCCGGAGGUCGACCAGCACGCGGCUCCCACCUGCGGCUCUUCCAGCCGCACCCCAAAUCCCCUCGUGAGGCGCCCCUCGGGCCCCCAGCCGCCCUGCCCCCGUGACCGAGGCUCGCUGGGGGUCCCUCAGCAUUCCUGCUCCGGGGCAGCGCGGAAGCCGGACCAGGCCGCUGCGGCCUCGCCUCACUUUCCACUCCAGGGCCCGGCUCCCGCGUCAGCCGAAGAGUCGGGGCGACGGGCAGAGGCUCCCUCAUCUUCGAGAUGCGCGCCGGCUGCGCGUCUGCGCGGCGCCCUGACUGUCGCCCACCGUCCUCUCCCUCCCCUGCCGACGACCUCCUCGCUGUGUGGCCUCGACUUCCUCCCAGGACCCGACAAAGAACAAACACCCAGAAACACCUCCAAACCCGCCUGUGCCCCGCUCACUGCCGCGUCCCGAGGACGCCCUCCCGCUUCCCCCUCAGUCCCUCACCCCCAGCCUCCAGGGCGCGGGCGACCGCUGAGCCCAGACCCAGUCCGGAGGCCCAGUGCGGUGCCUUCCGAGCCCGUCCCUCCACAGACAGGCAGGCAGGCAAACAGGCAGACACACACACACACAGACAGACACAGACAGGCAGACACACACACACGCAGACAGACACAGACAGGCAAAUACACAGACACACACACAGAGACACACACAGACACUGACACACACACAGACACACACAGAGACACAGACACAAGACACACACAAAAACAAAGACACACACAGACACACACAGAGACACAGACACAGACACAAGACACACACACAAAGACACACACAGACACACACAUACACACACACACAGACACACAAAGAGACACACACAGACACCCAUACACACAGACACACACACAGGCACAGACACACAAACCGACAUACACACAGACAUGCACACACAGACACACACACAGAGACACACACACAUACACACACACACAGACACACACAGACACACACACAGAGGCACACACAGAGGCAGACACACACACAGAGAGACAGACAUACACACAGACUGACACACACACAGACAGACACAGACACACACACAGAAACACACACACAGACACACUCACACAGAUGCACAAACACAGAUACACACACAGACACACAUGCUGA